rnacentral:lncRNA from 1 species
UUUUCUUUUCAUACCUUUAUGUUGUGUUGUGUGGAUCCCCCCAUUGUGGGUUAAGUGUUCCCCCUCCCCUAGUCAUGUAAUAGCUUAGAUUUAUUGCUUUAUAGUUAAUUUACUAUGCAUGUUGAUAACCAAGAUAAAAUACAAAACAAUAAACAAAGUAUUCCAAAAGAAACAAAAGGUACUUGAUUCAACGUCAAGUUGUUUUCCAACUAAAACUCACACCAUUGCAACGUGAAUACUUGAUCCAACGUCAAGUAUCC